GGAUGAUGUUUAGAGAGAUUUGGGGGUUAGGGUUUGUAGUUUAGAGUGAGAAAGAGUAGAAGUCGAAAGUUAGGGUAUGAAAAAUGAGGAAAAAGGAGGAAAGAAAGAAGACUAAGCCACGACCUGUAGUCGGGCGCGCCUGCGCCAGCCACCUGCACGCCUGCGCAAGAUAACCUUGCGCCCGCGCAUGGGUCGCGUAGGUGGUCGCGCUUAGAUUUGCUCUCAGCUUUUCAUUGGAGCGCCCGCGCAUCUUGCUCUCACGCCCACACUCUCCUGUUCUACCUCUUUUUCCAUCCUAAAUCUUGCUCUAGCAAUCCUAAUUGCAUCUACCUUCCUCGUAUGGCUCAAAAUCAAGAAACAUUAAGCACAAACUCUCACUACAACCACUAAGCACCUCCAAAUGAUGCUUUAUGCUUGAUCAAAUGAAUGCAAAUCGCAUCAAAAUCACCCUUCAAAAACAAAUAAAGAAUAGAGAAGAUAAGAAAAGAAAAAUGAAAAAUGAAAAGAGAAAAGUUCACUAGUAGAAAUUUUGAAAUAGGCACCCCCCCUUUAGCACCGGUUCUUGAAAACCGGUGCCAAAAGAAAUAGGCGGGGUUGGAAAAUUCAGAGUUGGCAACGGUUCCAACCAAAACUAGUGCCAACUAAUCUAAUUAGCACCGGUUAAAACUGGUGCCAAUCCAAAAAUAAAAAAUAAGAAAUAAAAAAAACCGAAGAAAGCAAUAUAGUUGGCACCGGUUCGUCUUAAACCGGUGCCCACUAGUAUAGUAGUAGCCAUUAAAAAAAACCGAGCUUCUCGUAUUUCUUCUUCUUCUUUUCUUUCCCCAGGAUUUUUCAACUUGUUUUUUCCCUCAGCUCGUUCUCACCUUCUCUUCCAAGCCACCACCUCCGAAUUCCCACCUUCUCCAUUGAAGCCGUUUUUGAGCUCUUUCACUCCAUUAAAGCAACUGCAUGCACCUCCUUCUCUCUCCAUAUCUCUCCUCCAUUGUACUCUUGCUCUCUAUUCUCCAUUGAAGCACAUUCUGAGUUUUCUCACCUCCAUUGAAGCAGCUUUGAGGUAAGAUUUGGGCCAUUGUGUUCUUCUUAAUCUACCGAAUUUCUUCGCAACCUAGGUUUGUCGUUGAUUUGGUUUUCAAUUUUGUAAUUUUAGGGUUCUGGUUUUAUUUCUAUUUUUUGUCAAACAAAAUAAGUAGGAGAAGGAGAGAGUAUGUUCUACCCGCCGCUACUCACCCUUCGCCGGCCACCCUCCGUUCCCCUCAACCGUCCUUCGUGGGUCGGCUACCGACCACCAGUAGGAGACAGUGACUCUAAAUCAAGAACAGUGGAGAAGGAAGUGAAUCCAAGGGGAACAAAUUUAUGUUGUGACGACGGUAAGAUGUCUAUGCUAUAUCUAACUUGGAGUACCUUACUAAAUGAAUCAGUAGACCCAUGGACAAACACGAAAUCAAGUGUCCUGAAUGACCCUCAUUUAGGGAAUUGCAAGUCGAAGGCCUUGAUGAACAAGAGGCUAGAUACGCGUGUUGGUAAUGCAACAUUCCCCCCUUGGACACUUUGGAAGGGAUCAUUAGACGUAUACUCUAAGGAUUAAGAGGAUGAGAAGUUGAAUGAUUUUAGGCAUCAGGAUAUAUCUCAAGGUGCUUAUCCUCCCUGGAUUUGGGGAUCUGAUGAAGAAAAUUAUCCUUUGACAAGGAAAGUGCAGCGUGAUUUAUGGCUUCAUCAGCAUCCGUUGAACUGUCAUGACCCUCAAGUGAAUCUUGUGGCUGAUUGGGAAAGACUCCCCGGACUUGGUAUAGGUGCACAAAUUGCUGGAAUGUGUGGAAUUCUUGCUCUGGCCAUUUCUGAGAAGAGGGUGCUUGUAACAAAUUACUACAACCGUGCUGAUCAUGAGGGCUGCAAAGGAUCAUCUCAUGCAAGUUGGUCUUGCUACUUUCUUCAAAGACAUCCCAAGAAUGCCGGGAUUGUGCUUUUGAUCUCAUGAAUCAUAAGGAAGCAUGGGACGAGGGAAUCAUAAAAGUAAAAGAGAACUAUACUUCUAAAGAUAUAUGGGCAGGACAGACUCCUAGGUAAUUUCUUGCAACUUUUGCUGAGUACUCGUACAUUAUUUUAUGAGGACGAUGUGAAAUAUUCGUCUGUGUACUGAAUUACUACAUACUUGGCUGUUAUUUUCUGAGUAAGUUCACCAAUUGCCUUCUUUUCCUCGUUGAAAUACUUCUCCUAGGGACGAGUAAGCAGAAUAGAAAUAGCAGAACAACAAGCAGAACACAAAGUAGUAGAAGCAGAAGCAGUAGCAGAAGCAGAACAGUAGUAGUUAUAAUAUCCUGGCUGUGAUAGUUCUUGGAGUUAUCGGAGGUGUUCUUGGGCAGCUUUUAUAAUUAUCUUGUUGACAUGCACUAUCGUUGACAACGUUGUUUAAUCCCUUAUUUUUAUUAUGCUUGUGAAUGUAACAGCACCAGGCCAGCAAAACAGCAACAAUAGCCAUCACCAGGCCUUCUCAUAUGGUCUGCCAUCAACAAAUUUAUAUGUUGUUUUUUUUUUCAAUUUUGUAAAGUGUAAUAU